rnacentral:rRNA from 1 species
GACGAACCGUGCGAACGUUUGUUCGGAAUCACUGGGCUUAAAGGGCGCGUAGGCGGCCCUUCUGGUCCGGGGUGAAAGCCUCCCGCCCAACGGGAGAAGCGCCUCGGAUACCGGAGGGCUCGAGGAGGGUAGGGGCGUGCGGAACUGUGGGUGGAGCGGUGAAAUGCAUUGAGAUCCACAGGAACUCCGGUGGCGAAGGCGGCACGCUGGACCCUUUCUGACGCUGAGGCGUGAAAGCGUGGGGAGCGAACAGG